rnacentral:misc_RNA from 1 species
AAGUCGUAACAAGGUUUCCGUAGGUGAACCUGCGGAAGGAAAGGAAGGAAAGUGUUAAAACCACUUAUAAAAAUAUAGAGAGAAUAAAAAAUUUACCUCGAGUGGUGGAUCACUCGGCUCGUGG